CCGGCAGCCGGGGCUGAGUGCGGUGGCGCAGAGCUGAGUGUUGUCCGCCGGAGCUGCGGAGAAAGAGCCACUUGUCCCCCAGUUAUUUUGAGGCAAGAAUGGGUUUGAGGAAAGGAGAAAGACAGACGAGAGCUGGAAGGAAUAUAAAAAUGCAAAAUGAAACACACAAGCAAAGGAGCAGGAUAAAGCACACAAGCAAAGGAGCAGGAGACAGAAGACCAACCUACAGUCCUUCCAACCUUCCUCCUGGGAGCCUCAGGGGGACCAGGCACUACAGGUUGGCAACAAGGUGAUUUUUCAAUAUGGGUUAAUGUCAGACAGUAACUUAAAAAGUAAGGAUCUAUCACACCCAAAGAGUUUCCACUUUAAAUGCAUGCUGAUCUCUCAACUAAACAUACUUUUUGCACUGAGGAAGCAAUCUGAG
ensembl:lncRNA